CCCCAACAUUAUUAUAGCAAGCAAACCCUAAAACUUGAAACACAACAACCACUUCUUUUUUUUUUUUUUUUUUGUCUUUCCUCUCUCUCUGUUUCACGAAGAACAACAAAAUUAUCAGAUUUUCAAUCCCUCUUUUAUCAAACCCUCACACACAUUCUCCUAAACUUAGAUCACAAAUAUUAGAUACAGAUAAUAAUGGCUGGUAAAGGUGAAGGUCCGACGAUUGGAAUCGAUGUAGGUACUACCUAUUUGUGUUGACCGGAACGGAGAUGGUGGAAGAAAGUGAGGGAGUUGACGGAGUCCGUAGACGGCGGUCGGUGGCGACGGUGGUUACGUCGGCUGAGGCGGUGGUUACGAUGGUGGUUAAAAGGCAGUGUACGGUGGUUUCGGGUAUGUGCGGUGGCGCGUGAGAGUAACGUCACCGCCGUUGAUGGAAUAUGAGUCGUUGGUUAAGAGUACCGAGACGGUUAUUGCAGCGAGUAGGAGGGUGUGGAAGAUGUUUUAGCUCCGGUGACGGUGUAACAGCGGGGGUGAACGACGGCGGACGGAUGUAGUGGUGGGUUGAACGGCAGCGAAUGACCGGUGAACGGAGACGGAGAGUGUGGAGAGGAGACGGCGGAUGUUUGCUGGUGGGUUUGGGUGUACGGUGGAGCUCGGUUGAAGAUGUUGAUGAUAACAGAUUAAAAUUUUGAUGUUAGAUGUAAAAUGUAGUUGAUGUUCAACUGUUUGAUGAAGCUGAUGUCUGUUGACGCUGGCCGGAAAUAGUGGUGGUUUUGGUUGAAGUCAGUUCACCGGAUACGUGGCGGCGCCGGAAUAACUUGCCGGAACCCUAAAUUAUGGCUGGAAGUUUGCAGGAGAAAGAAGAUGUUGUCCCGGCAACAGUGGAGGUCGGAAAUAGAUCGUCGGAAAGGCGGCGCCGGAGAAUAUUGCCAGAAACCCUAAUCUGUUAAAAGAGAUUCAAUUUUUUUUUUUUAAUAUACUUCUGUUUCUACUCUUUCUUAAAAAAAAAACAAAUACGCUGACUUUAACUAAACUGCCGGAAUAACGACGUCGGAAACGUGACUUACCGGCGUAUUUAACAAAUACGCCGGAGAACUUGAACUCGCGUUCAAGAUUUAAUUUCGCCGGAAAACACAAAUUCGCCGGAAAACACAAAUUCGCCGGAAAACACAAAUUCGCCGGAACUUUCAAUAUUCAAAAUAAAAUCGCUGUAUUCAUAGUAAAAACGCCGUAUUCAUCAGAAAAACAACCUUCUGAUCCGAAAAAAUAGUUCUGACUGAUAUGAAAACCUUUCUAAAACAUUUUACUCAUAAAAGUAUCAAUUAUCAACCAACAAACAAACCGUUUCAAACCUUUUAAAGACAAGAUUUUGAAGAAAUAGUGAAUAAAAUCAAAAACCCUAAAAACUUCAAAACUUUUUCAAAUAAAAAUCAGAUUUUUAUGAUGAAUUUGAAGAUUGUUGAAUCCCAAAUUCGAGUACCAAGCUCUGAUACCAAAUUGUAGGAUCAAAUCGAGCCAAAAAUCUGAUUUUGUAUAACAAUAAAGAUGAACACACUCAAAAUGAACUUGAAAAAACCACUAGAUUGAUUUGCAAUGAUGAUGAUACAAUUAGCCCCCAAAUCUCUCUAGAAUGUGUGUUGCCAAAACCCUAAUCAUCACUUUCUAUUUAUAGCCUAAACACACUUAGGCUAUUUACAUUUAAGUCCCUAGGGUUAAUAACUUGCCAAAACUAGUAAUAAACAUGAAAACUAAUUAAAAGAGCUAAUAAAUAUAUUUUGUCUAAACAAAAUAUAUUUAAUUAUCCAAAGCAAUAAAACUGUCAUAUCUCGAACUUCCACGCGCCAUAUCAUUCUUCGAUCUUCUCGUGUCGACUUGCCCGUUGACUUUGACUUGUUGGAGUUGACUUUGUUGACUUGAUUCGUUGAUAACAUUAGACUACACAUUUUAGACCCAACAAAUGGACGCGGGGCCGUGUCCGGGCGUCUGUACAGGCUAUAAAUAGAAGGGCUUGGUUCACUUCAAAGGCAUCCCUUGGCAAACCACCUCUCUCCCACUUCACCCACACUCCACCACCACUACAACCCACAUCCACCACCAUCAUCCAUCAUCCAUCUUAGAGUGUGUGUAGUAGUUUCGGGAUCCAAGAUUGAUAGUAAGAGUUCUUGACAAUCAAAGGCCAUGUUUGCCUAAGUCUCUUACAUCACUUGGUGAAGACAAGCAUUUAGUGUAAUACUUUUGAUUUUUAAUCUUUUCGCACUUUUUAUUCGGUUUUGUAUUAAUGACUUUAAUAACUAGUUUCUUAUGUUGAAGGUGAAACUUUCUUAUCAUUUAUCCGUGGUGUCUUGCCAUUAUUUUACUGUAUAUAUAAAAUAAAAGAUUUUCACCAUUCAUAUCUCUACAGUCUAUAUAGAGAUAUGUUGGCUACCUGGUCGGGGGUUAAGGGAAUGGUUUGGUAAGGUUCUUGCCUUGUUCAGUGUAUAGAUCCUGCAACGACCUGGGUCAAGCUUACUAGGACCUCCUUCAAUACCCAUUGGUAUUGGAUGGAGGGGGUGCGAAUGGCUUGAUCCCCUCAUAUGUAAACUACUAUUAAUAC
rnacentral:lncRNA from 1 species